UCUAAGAUUAUUGCUGUUACAAAUAGUUGAAUCAGUAAAAAGAUAUUCCAAAAUCAUCAUAGCCUUCCUAAACAAACCUCUGCAAAUAGGCCAUAUUGUAUUUUUUGACAUUCAGCUUAAAAAAUAGAAAUCAAAACUCAAAAGAAUACCAAACAGAAUAUAAAACUAAUGGGAGGAAAAAAAUAAAAAAAUAUACCUUGAAAGGAUUAAGGAAGCACGGA
rnacentral:lncRNA from 1 species